rnacentral:rRNA from 1 species
GACGAACGCUGGCGGCGUGCUUAACACAUGCCAGUCGAACGGAAAGGCCCUGCUUUUGUGGGGUGCUCGAGUGGCGAACGGGUGAGUAACAUGUGAGUAACCUGCCCUUGACUUUGGGAUAACUUCAGGAAACUGGGGCUAAUACCGGAUAGGAGCUCCUGCUGCAUGGUGGGGGUUGGAAAGUUUCGGCGGUUGGGGAUGGACUCGCGGCUUAUCAGCUUGUUGGUGGGGUAGUGGCUUACCAAGGCUUUGACGGGUAGCCGGCCUGAGAGGGUGACCGGCCACAUUGGGACUGAGAUACGGCCCAGACUCCUACGGGAGGCAGCAGUGGGGAAUAUUGCACAAUGGGCGGAAGCCUGAUGCAGCAACGCCGCGUGCGGGAUGACGGCCUUCGGGUUGUAAACCGCUUUCGCCUGUGACGAAGCGUGAGUGACGGUAAUGGGUAAAGAAGCACCGGCUAACUACGUG